AAUCAAAAUUUCUGAUAAUACUGCCUGGCUGAGAUUUCUGAAAGUUAUCUAGUUUCCAAGUUGAAUGUCUUUUAAAACAAACCAAUCUGUUGACUCUUGUUGACACAAAAUUUUGUUGAGUACAUCAUUAUUAGUCCUCCCUAUAAAAACUGAUAUCCAAGUUAUACUGGUCACAUUACCUGACUUGUUGAUAUUUGUGUGCACCUGACAACAUACCAGAUGUUAAAUGCUUAGUUCUGUUCUUUGCCUGACCUAGUACUGCAGAAUCAGCAUGUCCUCACAUCAGCUAUGGUGCACACUGAGCCUUCUGUGCUCAUUGGUCUUUUCUGAACAGUGAUCUGUGUAUCUGCCAAGAGAAUAUCAGAAAAGUUACUGCAGUGAUAUCUGGCUUGUAGUAACCAAGCUUUCACAGUUAUGUUGCUUUUUGAACCACCAGUAUAGGGGCUCUUCCUCUCAAUGCGAAGUAGAAUUCACAAAGUGCUGUAUUGUUCACCCACUGAUGUGAAGGUAUGUGAGCUGGGAUCAUCAUGAAACGUGUUAGUUUUAUCCUACUGGUGCAUCUACAUAUGUGAGGCUCCAAGUUGUCAGGGUUUCAACAUAGUCAUAUGUCAUUCAAUGCUGAUGCUUCAGCUGACCGACAGUAAUGCCAGCAACAUCGUUUGGUUAUAGCUGUUCCAUCCAAUACAAUAGGAAUCAUGAGGUCAGAGUAAUGGUUUGCAUAUUCACUUGAUAAAAGAGCAUGGUGCCAGGCUACCUCCAAUUGAUAAUGGCUGAAUGCUUCCAAGAAGAAACCAUAGCUGGAUCUAAGUUAGUUUCCAAAAGUGUCUCAACCUCAAGGUGCUGAUAGAAUUGCCAUUCUGGUACUGCCUUGCCUCCCUUAUUUGGAGAGAUCAAGAUAAAAAUGAUCACUUGCAUACAAUUUGAUGUGCCAUUCUGAGUAACAUGCUUAAUGGAGCAGCUACCACACUGUGAUCUAUUGAGUCUCUUCUUGCAAACAACAUGGUCUGU
rnacentral:ncRNA from 1 species